rnacentral:tRNA from 1 species
GGCCAAAGCAGUGGCCUAGCAGCCCAAUUGUCCUGGGUUCGACUCCUCCUUGUGCC